UACACCCUAAUUAAUAAAAAAAAAAACUUAAAAAGAUUAAGUUACCUGUCAAGCAUUUCCAAAACUACUACAUAAGUUUCAGAGGAAACUAUUAUCAAGUAAGUCAAUAAGGUUUUAUCAUUAAGACUCUAUUGUCAUCCCGUACAUAUCAGUAUCACACAUCAAAACAUACUCGAUAUCUAUCGCUUUGCAGAAACGAGAGUCACCCACACAUGCGCACUAAUUAUAUGUUUAUUACGUUUGUGUAACAAUGUGUGUGUUUGCGCGCGUUUCUCCAAUCAGACUGGAUAGCCUGGUGGUUUAAGAAGGUUUCAUUUUUAUGGCCAAAAGUAUUAUAUUACACAUGAAUAUGCACUAUUAAAUUGUUACGUCAAAAUCAGAUUAUGCAAAAAAAAAAGUUGUGAAAAAAUAAAUAUUCUUCCGGAAAACGAAGUACAGUCAGCAUCAAAAGUAGCGGAUGAAACAACGCGCCAAAAGUAUCUGAUAUUCCGGAUAACUUUUCGAAAUAUAGAUAAAUUUCUAAAAUUCGCGCUCAAAAGUAUAUCUUUUACAGUCUUAGUUGUUCUAUAUUAAAGACAUCACUUUUUGUUAAGCUGUUACAGAAUGGUAGAUACUUAUGAAACGUUAUUUGAUCCGCUACUUUUGAUGCUGACUGUACAAACAAGAGUUUUAAGCAAUUGAUUAUCAUAUUAUACCUACCACUCUAUAUAUAUUUUUUAUUUAAAGGUACUUAAGACAAUUUGUAUUACACCCUUAUAAUAUCUAAACUUUAUGACUACACCCACUUUUACAAUUAUAUUUCUUCAUUUGUCGAUCAUCCAUCAACAAAUAAAACGAAGAAUGGAGUUGCGACUUUGUCUUUAGAUUAUAGUACAUUGUGCAACGAGGGGGGUAAGUGUAAUACGAGUAUUAGAAACGAGGUCUCUAAAUUCACGACAGCCGCGGCUGUACCCCCGGAGUUGCAAUGUUUUUCAUCACACUUGUGAAGAAAAAACUAAAUUUUAAACGAAAUAAUUUUUAAAUACGGCGAUAUUUGUCCGCCAUAUUUUUGACAGUUUAAGCAUUGAAGGCACCGGCCCAUCCAGCAUUGGACUAAGAUUGAAAAUAUUUGAAACGGCUAUUAAAGUAAAUUAAAUGUUUUAAAACAUAAACUAAAAAAAAUCAGUAUUUUAAUAGUAAAACUCUUUUAUACCUACUUAGUAUGAAUUAGUGACAUACCUACUUAAAAAAAGCUGUAAACCAUUUUUUACAAUCCAUAAUUCCCGAUAAUUAAACAUUAUUCCACGUAUCCGUGAGGCGUAAUUAGAAUUAAAUAAAUAUGACACCAACACGACAACUUCCUAACGGCCUGAUUCGAACUUUAAGAUACGUCAAAUAUUAGGUCUAGAUACGAUAUGGAUCGGAUAUUGGAUAAUUACUUUGGUGUUGUAGUAAGUUUAUAAUAUGUAUACUUGGAAAAUUAAUUGUAAUGUUGAACCUUUUAAGCGCUGGUGGCCUAGCGGUAAGAGCGUGCGAUUUGCAAUCCGGAGGUCGCAGGUUCAAACCCCGGCUCGUACCAAUGAUUUUUUCGGAACUUAUGUACGAAAUAUCAUUUGAUAUUUACCAGUCGCUUUUCGGUGAAGGAAAACAUCGUGAGGAAACCGGACUAAUCCCAACAAGGCCUAGUUUACCCUCUGGGUUGGAAGGUCAGAUGGCAGUCGCUUUCGUAAAAACUAGUGCCUACUCCAAAUCUUGGGAUUAGUUGUCAAGCGGAACCCAGGCUCCCAUGAGCCGUGGCAAAAUGCCGGGACAACGCGAAGAAGAAGAAUUGAACCUUUUGACGUUCAUGGAAUAUACAAAACAUGUUACAAGUAAUAUAUUAUUUGAUUUAGUAUACUUUUAACGAGUGUAACAAUUAUAUUUUAAAGUAGAGAUGAUAAUUUAUUUUUCCAGGUACGCCAUUAAUUGCCCAUCUAAGAUCUAAGACUAUAUAAUGCCGAUGAUGGUAAUAGUCAUUAAUGCGUUAAUUGCAACAUCUUCCUUGACAAUAAUGAUCUGCAGUUGUGAUGACUUCUGCGGUGAACUCCCAGCCCAAUUCGAACUUUAAGAUACGUCAAAUAUUAGGCCUAGAUACGAUAUGUAUCGGAUAUGUCAGUGUCAAAAGUGACGUUUUUAGUUUGAUACUGACAUAUCGCAUAUAGACCAAAUAUAUGACGUAUCUUAAAGUUCGCAUCGGGCCGUAUAUUAGAGAAAUAUUAAUUGCUAUUAGUGUGAUCGAUUGAUAUGCUUUGUAAAUCGGAAUGUGCUCCAUUUCCAAUAUACAUAGUAUACAUACUUAUAAAAUAGAAUAAUCGCUACCGUAGCACGCGUCACUCUACUCGUACUGAAUAUCUUGAUCAACUUGAUCACCUUAAAACUGUCGAUGGCUUUCAACAAGAUGUAAAAAAACUGGUUCCUCAGUUACGGUUUUACUACGAAUUGAAUUCUAAUAAUUAUGAUAUAGUUGUUAUAUAUUUGUAUGUGAUUUGAAAAUUCACACUGACUAUUAGAUCCGGUUUGACUUCUAAUUUCGUAAUUUGACAGUAUUGAUCGUAUAUCAAUGAAAUUUCUUACGCAUCAUAAUAUUUUUAGUAGCUCCUAAAUAUGAGCUAUAUUUUUUAUGAAAUAAGAUUUAAAAUCGAUUUAAUCGGUAAGAUAUAUCAUAGAUAUGUCAGUCAACAAUAGGAUGGAAAAAGUUAUGAUAUAAAAUCGUCACCGAGUUAGAAGUUUAAUUAACACAAAAGUGGGUUACGUGGACCGAAAGCGAGUCUUCAAUUAGACGUUGCACCGGGCAUGUGCAAGCGAUUGUGCUAAGUGUGGUCUUUGUUUCAUUAUCUCACGGCGUUGCGAGUGUCUUCUCACAGACCCCUGUCUAUGAUUUAGUCAGUUGCAAUCAGCCUUUUCCCAUAAGAAAUGUGGUCAUCACUAACCAACUUAUCUUAAACAGAUUUCAACUGAAAUAAACCUAUUGACAGCGAAGUAAGGACUAUUACAUUGGUAGAAAUAUGGUGGCGGAUUCAGCUCAGUCGUUAGAUUACGCUAGGAUGUUUUAUUGAAGGCAUUGUUAGUCAUCGAAGAUUGGUUAACAUCUGUUUGCAUGCAUAAUGUGUAGCAUUAAUGAUUUCUCACUAUAUUAUAUUUCUGGUGUGUCUCCGCCCACGUAAUAGCCAUGGAAUUGACAGCAAAUGCUUUGCAUUUCCCACAAUGCUUAUUUUAUUUACAAUAAUUAAGAAACUUUUGUAAAUUUAUUGUUAUUUUUGUUUCAGGUAUUUUUUGCAAUAAAUUCAACAUUCACUGAUUCGUGACGGCUUUAUCGUGAAUUAAUGGGUUUCAAAAUGUUUAAGGUAAUUGUCGCGGACAUGGUUUCGACACAACAGUGGUCACGAAUGGGCUAUUCGUGUGUAGAUGGGCGCUCUUGGUAGUAAAGUGUGGCGGUAAAGUUAACCGACACGUCUAAACUGAUGAAUAUCUUAGUUGAUGAAGCAAGUACAUAAUCGGGCGUUCGAAGAAAAAGUGAAACCACUUGACUUAUCUACGCUACCAGUCUAUCACUUAUCUAAAGCCUUAAAAAAUCUGUUUCACAAAGAAACCGAAAAUGUUUUUUUUUUGUAACUACGCAAUCAAAUAUCGUGAUUUAAAUUAUCGAGACAAUCACAUCUCCCAUUGAGUUAAAACUAGAUUUAAAUACGCUUUCCAUUUAAAUCGAGUAACUCUUUGUAGUAAUCACACGAUACGACUUACUUACUAGAUAUAUAUAUAUUGUAGAUACGGAUCCGUUCUUUACUGUAAACAUUUUUAUGGCGCAAGUUAUAAACUUUUGAUAAGUAUAAAAAUAAUAAUACAACGACCAUAUAUUAUUUUUAUAGAUGUUUAUGAUUCCCGAAUAACUAUCAGAACAACGUUUCGUGUAUGACCUGUCUUUUGCACUUUUUAAAUGGUAUUUCAUGUACUGCGAAUAAUUUGUUUAUGGUUCUUCAUCAAAUUGAGCAUGUAAAUUCACGAUUUAUAGAAUUAUGAUAAUUAUUUAAAUGGUCAUAAACUGAGAAGGCAUGUAAA